CGGAAUGUAGCUCAGCGCCCGGUUUGGGACCGGGAGGCCGCAGGUUCGAGACCUGCCAUUCCGA
rnacentral:tRNA from 1 species